rnacentral:lncRNA from 1 species
GAUCUAAUUGGUGUCUAGGAAAGCAUGAAAGGUGGUUACUUAAUUAGGACCUUACUCUCUGAGUAAGGGAAGCCUCCCACCUGCUUACCUGGCCAAUUGUUCGAUUACCUCUUAUGAAGAGCUCAAGUUGCAAACACUAAGACCUGAUUAACCAAUAUUAAGUCAAUAGGUCUUCCACUGUAGUAGAGCUGCUAAGGUCUUUCUGAUGUUGAUUUGUCUCGGCUGGAUACAGUGGGCAAGUUGCAUCGGG